GACGAACCGUGCGAACGUUGUUCGGAAUCACUGGGCUUAAAGGGCGCGUAGGCGGGCUCCCAAGUCGGAGGUGAAAUCUUGCGGCCCAACCGUAAGAGGGCCUCCGAUACUGGGAAUCUCGAGGGAGGUAGGGGUCGGUGGAACUUCCGGUGGAGCGGUGAAAUGCGUAGAUAUCGGAAGGAACGCCGGUGGCGAAAGCGACCGACUGGACCUCUUCUGACGCUGAGGCGCGAAAGCCAGGGGAGCAAAGCGGG
rnacentral:rRNA from 1 species